rnacentral:rRNA from 1 species
AAGCCUGAUCCCACCCAUGCCGCGUGUGUGAAGAAGGCCUUUAUGGUUGUAAAGCACUUUAAGCGAGGAGGAGGCUACUGAAGUUAAUACCUUCAGAUAGUGGACGUUACUCGCAGAAUAAGCACCGGCUAACUCUGUGCCAGCAGCCGCGGUAAUACAGAGGGUGCAAGCGUUAAUCGGAUUUACUGGGCGUAAAGCGCGCGUAGGCGGCUAAUUAAGUCAAAUGUGAAAUCCCCGAGCUUAACUUGGGAAUUGCAUUCGAUACUGGUUAGCUAGAGUGUGGGAGAGGAUGGUAGAAUUCCAGGUGUAGCGGUGAAAUGCGUAGAGAUCUGGAGGAAUACCGAUGGCGAAGGCAGCCAUCUGGCCUAACACUGACGCUGAGGUGCGAAAGCAUGGGGAGCAAACAGGAUUAGAUACCCUGGUAGUCCAUGCCGUAAACGAUGUCUACUAGCCGUUGGGGCCUUUGAGGCUUUAGUGGCGCAGCUAACGCGAUAAGUAGACCGCCUGGGGAGUACGGUCGCAAGACUAAAACUCAAAUGAAUUGACGGGGGCCCGCACAAGCGGUGGAGCAUGUGGUUUAAUUCGAUGCAACGCGAAGAACCUUACCUGGCCUUGACAUAGUAAGAACUUUCCAGAGAUGGAUUGGUGCCUUCGGGAACUUACAUACAGGUGCUGCAUGGCUGUCGUCAGCUCGUGUCGUGAGAUGUUGGGUUAAGUCCCGCAACGAGCGCAACCCUUUUCCUUAUUUGCCAGCGAGUAAUGUCGGGAACUUUAAGGAUACUGCCAGUGACAAACUGGAGGAAGGCGGGGACGACGUCAAGUCAUCAUGGCCCUUACGGCCAGGGCUACACACGUGCUACAAUGGUCGGUACAAAGGGUUGCUACCUAGCGAUAGGAUGCUAAUCUCAAAAAGCCGAUCGUAGUCCGGAUUGGAGUCUGCAACUCGACUCCAUGAAGUCGGAAUCGCUAGUAAUCGCGGAUCAGAAUGCCGCGGUGAAUACGUUCCCGGGCCUUGUACACACCGCCCGUCACACCAUGGGAGUUUG